CUCCAUCGCACCGUCAUUCUAUAAGUGAGGUGUUGUUGGCCAAAACUUAUUUUUGGGGAAGAAAGGCGGCGCUGAUAAGCGGUGGGGGGCGGGCGCCUCUCCUCGCAUUAUCAUCCACCCCUCGGCGGAAAAAAGAGGGGGGGUGAGUUGUGCGUCAAUAGCGCGAGAUAAUAAUGUUGGGGGUAAGCCCCAGGGGUUUUUCCCCAUUCCCCAGCAGGUUAUAAAAAAAGAACCGCCCCCUGAAAUGUUAAAUUUGAACUCCUAUAAAGGGGGGAAAUUUGGGGCCCGAAUUUCCCUAUUUCCCGUCCCCCCCCUGGGGGGCCGCGGGGAAAUCUGAUUUUUUGGUUGAUACCCCGGGGGGAAGGCCCACUGUCUUUUGGGGAUUCGGAUUAAGCCCCUGCCGAGAUCGAAAGGGGUUCGGCCCCCUUGGCCGACGGGUCCAAGUAACCCCGGGGAAUAAUUUGCCCCUUAGGGGGGGGGAAUACCCUCGGGAAAAUGGAAAAUAAUACUCCCAUAGGGUUUAGGGAGGCGGGGAAAGCCAUCUAGACUAAAAAAUUCCCGGUGCCUAAGGGAUGAGUUUCCGGACUUCAGUUGUAGUCAGGGUAAUGACUGACUAGCCUACGACGGAUACGGGUUGUGAGAGCAAUAACCGGAAAUGUAAUUGAGGCAGAUAUCAGGCCCUACGGGGCGCAGCAGGCGCGAAAACUUCACACUGUGCGAAAGCACGAUGAGGGAAUCCCAAGUGCUUGCUUGUAAGAGUAAGCUGUUUCUUUGUUUAAAACGCUUGAGAGUAAGGGCUGGGUAAGACGGGUGCCAGCCGCCGCGGUAAUACCUGCAGCUCAAGUGGUGGCCGCUAUUAUUGGGCCUAAAACGUCCGUAGCCGGUUUAAUAAAUGCCUGGGUAAAUCGUGUAGCUCAACUAUACGAAUUCCGGGUAGACUGUUAAGCUUGAGACCGGGAGAAGUUAGAGGUACUCCUGGGGUAGAGGUGAAAUUCUGUAAUCCUAGGGGGACCACCAGUGGCGAAGGCGUCUGACUAGAACGGGUCUGACGGUGAGGGACGAAGCCCUGGGGCGCAAACCGGAUUAGAUACCCGGGGUAGUCCAGGGUGUAAACGCUGCUUGCUUGAUGUUGGGUUGGGCUCCGAGCCCAAUCAGUGUCGGAGAGAAGUUGUUAAGCAAGCUGCCUGGGAAGUACGGUCGCAAGACUGAAACUUAAAGGAAUUGGCGGGGGAGCACAGCAACGGGUGGAGCGUGCGGUUUAAUUGGAUUCAACGCCGGAGAACUCACCGGAGGCGACGGUUACAUGAAAGCCAGGCUGAUGACCUUGCUCGAUUUUCCGAGAGGUGGUGCAUGGCCGCCGUCAGUUCGUACCGUAAGGCGUUCUGUUAAGUCAGACAACGAACGAGACCCUCAUCUUCAAUUGCUACUGGUAAGUCCGCUUAUCAGGCACAUUAAAGAAACCGCUGGCGAUAAGUCAGAGGAAGGCGAGGGCAACGGUAGGUCAGUAUGCCCUGAAUCCUCCGGGCUGCACGCGCGCUACAAAGGCCAGGACAAUGGGCUUCGACACCGAAAGGUGAAGGUAAUCUCGAAACCUGGUCAUAGUUCGGAUCGAGGGUUGAAACUCACCCUCGUGAAGCUGGAAUCCGUAGUAAUCGCAGAUCAACAUCCUGCGGUGAAUAUGCCCCUGCUCCUUGCACACACCGCCCGUCAAACCAUGCGAGUUGGGUUUGAGUGAGGAUGUAGUUUUUGCUGCGUUCAAACUUAGGCUUAGUAAGCGGGGUUAAGUCGUAACAAGGUAGCCG
rnacentral:rRNA from 1 species